AUGAAUGUUAAUUUGAAUUUAGUGAUGACGGUGCCUUAAGGAGAGCUUUCAACGAAUAUUUACAGAAAAGAUCUGCCUCUAAACAGUUGUCUAAAAUUUCAGUUGUAAAUACUUCACAUUGGAAGUUUCCUGCAAAACAGAAACCUACUCGUAAAACAUCAACGUUACUAUCGACUGCCGACAAAUCAUCUCAUACUUCAAGAGCAUAUUCAAGUACACAAGCUCGAGAUUCAUCAAGUGCUCCACAUUCAUUAAGAAGAAGGAAAGAAAAAAAAUUAGAUGAAUAUCUCCAACGGAUAUAUCAAGAAAAUUUAUAUCAUUUAUUUGAAAAGCAUUUCGAUUCUAAGGAAGCCGAGGAGCUUGCUUCAAUUCUGGAAUUACCAAAGCCAGAUAGUCUUCCUAAAAGUGUUGAGAAACAAAAAUCUGGCGAUGUAUCCAAUAAAUAUCAAAUAAAACCUUUAUUUGAAGUGGAAGUGAAAAAA